rnacentral:rRNA from 1 species
AUUGAACGCUGGCGGCAGGCCUAACACAUGCAAGUCGGGCGGGCGGCGGACGGGUGAGUAAUGUAUGGGGAUCUGCCUGAUGGAGGGGGAUAACUACGGGAAACGUUAGAUAAUACCGCAUACCGUCCGUUGGACCCAUAUGGGAUUAGCUUGUAGGUGGGGUAACGGCUCACCUGGGCGACGAUCCCUAGCUGGCCUGAGAGGGUGAUCAGCCACACUGGGACGGAGACACGGCCCAGACUCCUACGGGAGGCAGCAGUGGGGAAUAUUGCGCAAUGGGCGCAAGCCUGAUGCAGCCAUGCCGCGUGUAUGAAGAAGGCCUUCGGGUGGUAAAGUACUUUCAGUAGGGAGGCGUUACCGACCGAAGAAGCACCGGCUAACUCCGUGCCAGCAGCCGCGGUAAUUC